GAUUGAACGCUGGCGGCAGGCCUAACACAUGCAAGUCGAACGGUAAAACAGCUUGCUGUUUACGAGUGGCGGACGGGUGAGUAAUGUCUGGGAAACUGCCUGAUGGAGGGGGAUAACUACUGGAAACGGUAGCUAAUACCGCAUAAUGUCGCAAGACCAAAGAGGUUCGUCUUGCCAUCGGAUGUGCCCAGAUGGGAUUAGCUAGUAGGUGGGGUAACGGCUCACCUAGGCGACGAUCCCUAGCUGGUCUGAGAGGAUGACCAGCCACACUGGAACUGAGACACGGUCCAGACUCCUACGGGAGGCAGCAGUGGGGAAUAUUGCACAAUGGGCGCAAGCCUGAUGCAGCCAUGCCGCGUGUAUGAAGAAGGCCUUCGGGUUGUAAAGUACUUUCAGCGGG
rnacentral:rRNA from 1 species